rnacentral:rRNA from 1 species
UACGUAGGGUGCAAGCGUUAAUCGGAAUUACUGGGCGUAAAGCGUGCGCAGGCGGUUUUGUAAGUCUGACGUGAAAUCCCCGGGCUCAACCUGGGAAUUGCGUUGGAGACUGCAAGGCUUGAAUCUGGCAGAGGGGGGUAGAAUUCCACGUGUAGCAGUGAAAUGCGUAGAGAUGUGGAGGAACACCGAUGGCGAAGGCAGCCCCCUGGGAUAAUAUUGACGCUCAUGCACGAAAGCGUGGGGAGCAAACAGG